GACGAACGCUGGCGGCGUGCUUAACACAUGCAAGUCGAACGGUAAGGCCCUUCGGGGUACACGAGUGGCGAACGGGUGAGUAACACGUGGGUGAUCUGCCCUGCACUUCGGGAUAAGCCUGGAAACUGGGUCUAAUACCGGAUAGGACCACUGCCUGCAUGGGUGGUGGUGGAAAGCUUUUGCGGUGUGGGAUGGGCCCGCGGCCUAUCAGCUGGUUGGUGGGGUGAUGGCCUACCAAGGCGACGACGGGUAGCCGGCCUGAGAGGGUGACCGGCCACGCUGGGACUGAGAUACGGCCCAGACUCCUACGGGAGGCAGCAGUGGGGAAUAUUGCACAAUGGGCGCAAGCCUGAUGCAGCGACGCCGCGUGAGGGAUGACGGCCUUCGGGUUGUAAACCUCUUUCAGCACCGACGAAGCGCAAGUGACGGUAGGUGCAGAAGAAGGACCGGCCAACUACGUGCCAGCCGCCGCGGUAA
rnacentral:rRNA from 1 species